UCGCUUUGGCAGCGCAUAUACUAAAAUUGGAACGAUACAGAGAAGAUUAGCAUGGCCCCUGCGCAAGGAUGACACGUAAAUUCGUGAAGCGUUCCAUAUUUUU
ensembl:snRNA U6 U6 spliceosomal RNA